rnacentral:ncRNA from 2 species
UCCCUGGUUGAUCCUGCCAGUAGUUAUAU